CCCUGGCAUUGGCCCUUACGAGGUGCAUGGGGCCCUGGCUGGGGCCACAUGGGGUGGAGGCAUAGGGGUCUGGCCGGGGCAGUGUGGGGGCAAGGCUUUUGUUUUGGGUUUUUAUUUAGAUUUUUUUUCACCAUCAGUGCUGGUACAUCACCCCCACCCCCAGCCUGCCCCUGCAUUCCUGACCUCAGGAAAGUGAAACUACCCUUGUCCCACUGCCCAGAGGGAGCCAUGGCUGCAGCGAGCCCCGUGGAAAGUCUCCAGGAGGAAGCGACAUGUCCCAUCUGUCUGGAGUAUUUCACAGGCCCUGUCACUCUGGAGUGUGGGCACAAUCUCUGCCGAGCCUGCAUCGCCCAGUGCUGGGAGGGACCUGACACAGCCGCCUCCUGCCCUCCGUGCAGAGAAACUGUGCAACAGAGAAACCUCAGGCCCAACAGGCAGCUGGCGAACAUGGAUCCAAUUUGGAGGGAUUUGGAGAGUGCGAAAAAGGAGGGAGAUGAGAAUAGGGUGUUUAGCAAGAGUGGGAAGAAGGAAUAUCCAGGAACUCCUGGAGUCAGGAUCUGUAACAACAUUGUACCCAGUUGCUCAUGAAGAAUCCAGCGGCUUCCCCACCAGCAUCUCUGCCCAGCUCGCCUUUCCCAUCGCAGCUGCAGCUCCUGGUCUGGCUCCAGAAGGCCACUCCCCAGAUUCCCUCUUGAUCCUGAUCUCAGAUCCACUCUGCCACAAACGAGUCCUGACUGCAGAGCCCAGCCACAGGAAACAGCGGCAGUAUG